rnacentral:rRNA from 1 species
GAGAACUGCCAUACCAUGCUGAAAACACCGGUUCUCGUCCGAUCCCCGAAGUUAAGCAGCAUCGGGUCUGGUUAGUACUUGGAUGGGUGACCGCCUGGGAAUCCCAGAUGCAGUUCU